rnacentral:rRNA from 1 species
UGCGUAGGGUGCAAGCGUUGUCCGGAAUUAUUGGGCGUAAAGAGCUCGUAGGCGGUUUGUCGCGUCUGCUGUGAAAACUCGGGGCUUAACCCCGGGCCUGCAGUGGGUACGGGCAGACUAGAGUGCGGUAGGGGAGACUGGAAUUCCUGGUGUAGCGGUGAAAUGCGCAGAUAUCAGGAGGAACACCGGUGGCGAAGGCGGGUCUCUGGGCCGUAACUGACGCUGAGGAGCGAAAGCGUGGGGAGCGAACAGG